GUGAGGAAUUUUCCGCAAUGGGCGAAAGCCUGACGGAGCAAUGCCGCGUGAAGGAUGAAGGCCUAUGGGUUGUAAACUUCUUUUCUCAGAAAAGAAUUAUGACGGUAUCUGAGGAAUAAGCAUCGGCUAACUCUGUGCCAGCAGCCGCGGUAAGACAGAGGAUGCUAGCGUUAUCCGGAAUGAUUGGGCGUAAAGCGUCUGUAGGUUGUUUAAAAAGUAUUCUGUCAAAGAUUAGGGCUUAACCCUAGAUAGGCAGAAUAAACUUUUAAGCUAGAGUUUGGUAGAGGCAGGGGGAAUUCCCGGUGGAGCGGUGAAAUGCGUAGAUAUCGGGAGGAACACCAAAGGCGAAGGCACUCUGCUGGGCCAAUACUAACACUGAGAGACGAAAGCGAGGGGAGCAAAUGGGAUUAGAAACCCGAGUAGUCC
rnacentral:rRNA from 1 species